rnacentral:rRNA from 1 species
AGAGUUUGAUCAUGGCUCAGGACGAACGCUGGCGGCGUGCUUAACACAUGCAAGUCAAGGAGAACGUAUUCUUCGGAAUACUAUUAAACUGGCGAACGGGUGAGUAACGCGUAGGCAACCUGCCCUAGAGACGGGGAUAACUUCGGGAAACCGGGGCUAAUACCGGAUAAUGCAGCGGAUCCUUCGGGAUACAGUUGUUAAAGCGGGCUUCGGCUCGCACUUUAGGAUGGGCCUGCGUCCGAUUAGCUUGUUGGUAAGGUAAUGGCUUACCAAGGCGAUGAUCGGUAGCUGGUCUGAGAGGAUGAUCAGCCACACUGGGAUUGAGAUACGGCCCAGACUCCUACGGGAGGCAGCAGUGGGGAAUUUUGCGCAAUGGGGGAAACCCUGACGCAGCAACGCCGCGUGACCGAUGAAGCUUUUCGGAGUGUAAAGGUCUGUCGUAAGGGAAGAAAAGUUUGGAUGUAAAUAAUGUUCGAACCUGACGGUACCUUACAAGAAAGCACCGGCUAACUUCGUGCCAGCAGCCGCGGUGAUACGAGGGGUGCAAGCGUUGUCCGGAAUCACUGGGCGUAAAGGGUCCGUAGGCGUCCCAAUAAGUCAUUUGUAAAUACACCGGCUUAACCGGUGGCCUGCAUUUGAAACUAUUGGGAUAGAGUAUAGGAGAGGAAAGUGGAAUUCCUGG